rnacentral:tRNA from 1 species
GGGGAUAUAGCUCAGUUGGUAGAGCACAAGGCCCUGGGUUCAAUUCCCAGUACCA